GAUGAACGCUAGCGGCAGGCCUAACACAUGCAAGUCGAGGGAGAAGCCCUUUCGGGGGCCGAAACCGGCGCACGGGUGCGUAACGCGUAUGCAACCUACCUUUCACAGGGGGAUAGCCCGAAGAAAUUUGGAUUAAUACCCCAUAAUAUUAUUGGAUGGCAUCAUUUGAUAAUUAAAACUGCGGUGGUGAAAGAUGGGCAUGCGUCCUAUUAGCUAGUUGGAGUGGUAACGGCACCCCAAGGCUACGAUAGGUAGGGGUCCUGAGAGGGAGGUCCCCCACACUGGUACUGAGACAGGGACCAGACUCCUACGGGAGGCAGCAGUGAGGAAUAUUGGUCAAUGGUCGGAAGACUGAACCAGCCAUGCCGCGUGCAGGAAGAAUGCCUUAUGGGUUGUAAACUGCUUUUAGAUGGGAAGAAUAAGGCGUACGUGUACGUUGAUGACGGUACCAUAUGAAUAAGCAUCGGCUAACUCCGUG
rnacentral:rRNA from 1 species